GAUGAACGCUGGCGGCGUGCCUAAUACAUGCAAGUCGAGCGAACAGACGAGGAGCUUGCUCCUCUGACGUUAGCGGCGGACGGGUGAGUAACACGUGGAUAACCUACCUAUAAGACUGGGAUAACUUCGGGAAACCGGAGCUAAUACCGGAUAAUAUAUUGAACCGCAUGGUUCCAUAGUGAAAGACGGUUUUGCUGUCACUUAUAUAUGGAUCCGCGCCGCAUUAGCUAGUUGGUAAGGUAACGGCUUACCAAGGCAACGAUGCGUAGCCGACCUGAGAGGGUGAUCGGCCACACUGGAACUGAGACACGGUCCAGACUCCUACGGGAGGCAGCAGUAGGGAAUCUUCCGCAAUGGGCGAAAGCUUGACGGAGCAACGCCGCGUGAGUGAUGAAGGUCUUCGGAUCGUAAAACUCUGUUAUUAGGGAAGAACAAAUGUGUAAGUAACUAUGCACGUCUUGACGGUACCUAAUCAGAAAGCCACGGCUAACUACGUG
rnacentral:rRNA from 1 species